UACGUAGGGUGCAAGCGUUGUCCGGAAUUAUUGGGCGUAAAGAGCUCGUAGGCGGUUCGUCGCGUCGGCUGUGAAAACCCGGAGCUCAACUCCGGGCCUGCAGUCGAUACGGGCGGACUGGAGUGUUGCAGGGGAGACUGGAAUUCCUGGUGUAGCGGUGGAAUGCGCAGAUAUCAGGAGGAACACCGGUGGCGAAGGCGGGUCUCUGGGCCAUUACUGACGCUGAGGAGCGAAAGCGUGGGGAGCGAACAGG
rnacentral:rRNA from 1 species